rnacentral:lncRNA from 13 species
GAAUCUCAAUUGCACUCUCCUUGCGUCCCCUCUCCUCGCCUCCUUCUCAAAAACCCAUUGGAGGAGAAAGUUAGAGGGAAGGGACCUCUGGCUUUCUCAUCCAAUGGGUUUUGAGAUGGAGGCGAGUAGAGAAGAGAGAGGACGCGAGGAGUAUGCAAUUGAAAUUCUCUCUAUAUUCACAAAUAAAAGGUGCUGUCUGGAACCUCGAAAUGUUCUUCAGCUGUCCUCAUAGGAUAACCCUUUGAAGAACCCUUUUGAGUUCCAUGUAGUGGUUAGAGUGUUGGGCCAGUAACCGAAAGGUUGCUGGAUCAAAUCCCCUGGCUGACAAGGUACACAUCUGUCAUUCUCCCCCUGAACAAGACAGUUAACCCACUGUUCCCUGGUAGGUCAUCAUUGUAAAUAGGAAUUUGUUCUAAACUGACUUGCCUAGUUAAAUAAAUAAAAAUGUAGGACCCUUUCCACAGAGGGUUCUAUGUAGAACCAAAAAAGGGUUCUCCUAGGCAAAAAACCCCUUUGGAACCUUUAUUUUAAAUUUUUAAAGAGUGUACCUCUCUCUCAAACACAUACACUCACUCAAACAGCACAGCUCGAUCACACCAGAUCAUUACAGUAACUUAACUGAAUACAGUGAUAGAGCUGUGUCUUGUGUGCUGUUUGGGUUAUAAUCUUGUCAGGCUGUGGGAAUCUGUAACAUGAGUUAACAGUCCGAGAUUUCCAGUUGAUCCCGCAUGAUGGACUGAUUGAUUUACAGCAGUGUCACCGGGUCACAGGAGGGAUGGCAUGCUUCACACAGGCAGCCAAUACCAUUGUCUGGUGUGUGUGUACUAUAUAUACCAGCCGAUGCCUACAUGCUUGCACAAAAGCCUUCAGUCCAAAAGCUUUCGACAAAGAGAGCACCUAACAGUGCAAAUCAGACUGCUCUCUCUCAAAGGUUCAACAAUGGCUGAUGAUGAUGUAAGUUUUUCUUUGAACU